UUAUUGUCGUACGCCUCGACGCCCAGCUUCAGAUGGCCCGUCGCUAAUUUGCUGAUUGGUCACACCUGCCAGGUUGUCUGUCGUUCCUCACCGGACUGGAGGAACUUGAUUCCCAAAUGAAAUACAAACUGAGGACUUUGGACCACUGAGUUUUCCUUCACUUUGGCCCUGAUGAUGUUAUGCCGUUAUGUUCUGCCAGUGGGAGGGUUUCUGAGGAGCAAUUCUUCUUGAAGGAAUCCCACUCGUCCACAUGAUGUGUUUCAACAGUGUUUGAGCUGGGAAUUGUCCUGCGAUGUGAUGAACUGCGGUCAGAAGAGCAGCUGGUGAAGCCUCACUAUGGAAAGUUGAAGACACGAAGAGAUUAAAUUCAAGAUCUGCCGGGAAUCGAUCCCUGGCUACCACACGCUGUCAAAGUCGGCUGUCGUCUUACAUACUGCUGCACAGCACGUCCGCCUGUCACCACUGCGCCGAGCAGUAAUUAUUGUGUUUGACAUUUUGCAUUUGUCCAUGACACCUUCAGUUCCCCAUUAAUGUUUAAGCUUUAAUGGGGAAUUCAGCACAAUGUUAAACACCGUCAGCAUCCCGGUGAGGCUAAACCAGCUGGGCCUUUUUAAUGUGAAAAUAGCACAGACCUGUUUAAUUGCUCUCUCAACAGGUGUCAAGCUAAAUGCGUGUUUUAGGAUGUGCUUGAACAAGUCAGGGUGUCUUUACCUGUAAAAGCUCCAAAUUGGAACUUGUCACUUGACGAGUCUUGCAAUGUGAGACAUCCAGUUCUUCUUCAAAGUAAGUCAAGGUGACACAGUUCUCUUGUCAAAGAUUGUUUCUCUCCAAAAAAAAAAAACAUGGCAUAAAGUAAAUUAGUAACUUAUGGAGAAAAGGGACUAUUCAGUGACAAAUAAAAACCAUCCACCGUUCUCAAGUCUGUUCCAUCUAUUAGUCUUUAGCUACACUUUACCGAGGUCAGUUCGCCCGCUUAAUCCAGCUUGUGUUUUUUUUUCUUUUUUUUUUUUAUUAAUAUGAAAGCACAUUUAUUAUUUCACAAUGUAACCUUGAGAUGAAUAAGAGGACUAUUCAGACACAAGAUGGAUUACCUGAGGUUUAUUUCGCUCAAAGUGUUCAUCAGCUUCAUAAGCCUGUGGAGAACAAUGACAGGUUUGUUCGUCAUUGAAUCUUGUGUAAAGUACUUUUUAAAAAAAUUUCUUUUCAGUUAUAGCUAGUAAAGAGCCACUUGGCCCUUUGUGGUUAAACGGUGUAACUAUUACUGGUGUAAUUGUAGAUCAAAAUUACUUUGAUUGGAUCACAGAUUAACGUUUUUUAAUGUUGGAUUGCAA